rnacentral:rRNA from 1 species
UACGUAGGGUGCGAGCGUUGUCCGGAAUUAUUGGGCGUAAAGAGCUCGUAGGCGGUGUGUCGCGUCGGCCGUGAAAACUUGCAGCUUAACUGUGGGCGUGCGGUCGAUACGGGCAUCACUGGAGUUCGGCAGGGGAGACUGGAAUUCCUGGUGUAGCGGUGAAAUGCGCAGAUAUCAGGAGGAACACCAAUGGCGAAGGCAGCUCGCUGGGACGGUACUGACGCUGAGGCGCGAAAGCGUGGGGAGCAAACAGG